CGGAGCAGUUCACCAGUAGGGCUGCCUCCACAGGCAUCCAUGGAAUGCAAAGCGGCAAGGGAGCUGACCUCCACCGUCUCUGUGGAGGAGUGGAAAGCUCUGAGGAGAGACCCCAACACUACAGUGAAUGGGAUUGCUGCUGCCACAGACAGGAUGGCAAAAUCACACCUUGGCUUCCCAAAGAGCUCAAGGAGAAGCCUAAGAGGAAACAAUUCUUUUCAGUCCUUGGAGGAGUGAGCACUUCAGAAAAAUCAUUUCUUUCUUUGGUGACAGCAAGGACCAGGCUUAUAUUCUAGAGCUAAAAAAAAUUAUUUUGUUAAGAAUCA